rnacentral:rRNA from 1 species
AGUGAACGCUGGCGGCGUGCUUAACACAUGCAAGUCGAACGAGAACGGAUUAUAGCUUGCUAUAAUUGUCAGCUAUGUGGCGCACGGGUGAGUAAUGUAUAGGUAAUAUGCCUCUUACUAAGGGAUAACAAAUGGAAACGUUUGCUAAUACCUUAUACUCCUUAUUAACAUAAGUUAAUAAGGGAAAGAUUUAUUGGUAAGAGAUUAGCCUGUAUUGUAUCAGUUAGUUGGUGGGGUAAUGGCUUACCAAGACUAUGACACAUGACCGGUUUGAGAGGAUGAUCAGUCACACUGGAACUGAGACACGGUCCAGACUCCUACGGGAGGCAGCAGUGGGGAAUAUUGCACAAUGGACGAAAGUCUGAUGCAGCAACGCCGCGUGGAGGAUGACACAUUUCGGUGCGUAAACUCCUUUUAUAUGAGAAGAUAAUGACGGUAUUAUAUGAAUAAGCACCGGCUAACUCCGUGCCAGCAGCCGCGGUAA